CCUACGGGAGGCUGCAGUGAGGAAUAUUGGUCAAUGGGCUUACGCCUGAACCAGCCAAGUCGCGUGAGGGAAGACUGCCCUAUGGGUUGUAAACCUCUUUUGUCAGGGAGCAACGCCGGCUACGUGUAGCCGGACUGAGAGUCCCUGAAGAAAAAGCACCGGCUAACUCCGUGCCAGCAGCCGCGGUAAUACGGAGGAUGCGAGCGUUAUCCGGAUUUAUUGGGUUUAAGGGGUGCGUAGGCGGAAUGCCAAGUCAGCGGGAAAAUCGCGGGGCUAAACCUCGCUCUGCCGUUGAAACUGGCGUUCUUGAGUGGGCGAGAAGUAUGCGGAAUGCGUGGUGUAGCGGUGAAAUGCAUAGAUAUCACGCAGAACUCCGAUUGCGAAGGCAGCAUACCGGCGCCCAACUGACGCUGAAGCACGAAAGCGUGGGUAUCGAACAGGAUUAGAUACCCUUGUAGUC
rnacentral:rRNA from 1 species